AAUCCUCUAAAUGCCCAGGUCUGCUAAACUGUUCAGCAGGAGAUGCUCAGCAGUUGCCCAGUAAUGUGAAGUCUUUUUUUUUUUUUUUUUUUUUUUUGGCUUUCUUGCCUUUGGUUUACAUCCAAGUUGCACAGAAAUAAGAGAUGACAGUUGUUAUAGAUAUGCUGGUUUAAUUACUUGUCAGCUUAUAGCUGAUAUCUCGGCUAGCCAACGUGGAAGCUUAACUUUCUUCUAGUAGCUUAAAGCAUGACCAACUGCUAGUGCUUUAGUAUUUAGCCAUAAAACUCUGGAUACAUUUAAGAUAAAAAAUAAAAUAGAGCAACAGCCUUUUUGAUUUACUUGCAAAAGUGAUCAGCUUCCGGCGCUGUUGAUUUCGCAUAGGUCUUAGUUUUCAAGAUGUGCAAGGUACUGAAGAGAUGGCAGUAUCGAUGGGAAUACAAAUUUACACAGCUGACUUCUAAGGAUUUCUGCUUUCCUAUAGACCUUGUUGAAUCCUGCCAAGAA
rnacentral:lncRNA from 1 species